rnacentral:lncRNA from 1 species
UCCAUGUAUUAUCUGUUCUUUUAACUGAGUAACAUGCUUUUCAAAAGUGUUUUUCCAUGUUUCAGAGACAGAAAAGGGGAGAAAAAGAAGAAGAAAAGGGAGAGGAAAAGGUAAAAGAAAAGAAGAGAAUGAAUUGCAGCUGAGGAAGUGGAAGAGCGAGAAGCGCUUCCAGAUACCAGGUGAUGGUGUGCCAGUUCUGCUCUCUGCUGUAUCUGUGUCCUGUUUCCUUAUGUCGUUUGUAAUUUUUGAUCACAAGCACAUUUUCAACAAGGUUUGUUUACCAUGGGACCCCCAUGAGGCCUGAACUACAGAAGUGGUUUGGGGUUUGCCUCUGCCAGGUCCCUGGAGGUUUCAUUGG